rnacentral:rRNA from 1 species
GUUCCAUAUGAUGCACAGAACCACCCUGAACCCAUCUGAUCUCAGGAGCUAAGCAAGGUCGGGCCUGGUUAGCACUUGGAUAGGAGGCCCAUUGCAUUUAGAACA